GACAGAGGGGCCGAGCGUUAGUCGGAAUCACUGGGCUUAAAGCGUGUGUAGGCGGAUAAUUAAGUACCUUGUGAAAUCCCACGGCUUAACCGUGGAACUGCUGGGUAUACUGGUUGUCUUGAGCCACUUAGGGGCGAGCGGAACAAAUGGUGGAGCGGUGAAAUGCGUAGAUAUCAUUUGGAACGCCAAUGGUGAAAACAGCUCGCUGGGAGUGUGCUGACGCUGAGACACGAAAGCCAGGGUAGCGAACGGG
rnacentral:rRNA from 1 species